GUGCCAGCAGCCGCGGUAAUACGUAGGUGGCAAGCGUUAUCCGGAAUUAUUGGGCGUAAAGCGCGCGCAGGCGGUCCUUUAAGUCUGAUGUGAAAGCCCCCGGCUCAACCGGGGAGGGUCAUUGGAAACUGGGGGACUUGAGUGCAGAAGAGAAGGGCGGAAUUCCACGUGUAGCGGUGAAAUGCGUAGAGAUGUGGAGGAACACCAGUGGCGAAGGCGGCUCUUUGGUCUGUAACUGACGCUGAGGCGCGAAAGCGUGGGGAGCGAACAGGAUUAGAUACCCUGGUAGUCC
rnacentral:rRNA from 1 species